UCUCAUUGUCCUUAACAACUCUCUGGUCACCGCUCUUAAAGCAUGUAAUAUGACCUAGGUCCCUACUCUUUGUCUCUCUCAUUUUAUCAAGUUUGAAGGCAUCUUUCUUUUUUUUCCUUUUUUGUAAGAUGAACAAUAUCAUUUAUUAAGAAGCCGUUGAAAAUACAGC